rnacentral:snRNA from 1 species
GUUCAUUCCUGAACAUAUACUAAAAUUGGAACAAUACAGAAAAGAUUAGCAUGGCCCCUGCGCAAGGAUGACACGCAAUUUCAAUCGACUCGUACCGAGCGGCU